AUGAGCUUAAGUCUGUGCUGGGAGGUUUCCAGUGGCUCUUCCACGCCUCUCCGCACCCUCCUGGCCUGUUCUCAGACCCAGGGAGCAAACUAUAUCACCUGCAAACUGCAUCACCCUCGCCCCAAAAACUUCAUCACCUGCAAACUGUGUCACCCUCACCCCACAAACUGCACCACCUGCAAACUGCAUCACCCUCACCCCACAAACUGCAUCACCUGCAAACUGUGUCACCCUCACCCCACAAACUGCACCACCCGCAAACUGCAUCACCCUCCCCCCACAAACUGCAUCACCUGCAAACUGCAUCACCCUCACCCCACAAACUGCAUCACCCUCACCCCACAAACUGCAUCACCUGCAAACUGCAUCACCCUCACCCCACAAACUGCAUCACCUGCAAACUGCAUCACCCUCACCCCACAAACUGCAUCACCCUCACCCCACAAACUGCAUCACCUGCAAACUGCAUCACCCUCACCCCACAAACUGCAUCACCUGCAAACUGCAUCACCCUCACCCCACAAACUGCACCACCUGCAAACUGCAUCACCCUCACCCCACAAACUGCAUCACCUGCAAACCGCAUCACCCUCACCCCACAAACUGCAUCACCCUCACCCCACAAACUGCAUCACCUGCAAACUGCACCACCUGCAAACUGCAUCACCCUCACCCCGCAAACUGCACCACCUGCAAACUGCAUCACCCUCACCCCACAAACUGCACCACCCUCACCCCACAAACUGCAUCACCUGCAAACUGCAUCACCCUCACCCCACAAACUGCAUCACCCGCAAACUGCAUCACCUGCAAACUGCAUCACCCUCACCCCACAAACUGCACCACCUGCAAACUGCAUCACCCUCACCCCACAAACUGCACCACCUGCAAACUGCAUCACCCUCACCCCACAAACUGCACCACCCGCAAACUGCAUCACCCGCAAACUGCAUCACCCUCACCCCACAAACUGCAUCACCCUCACCCCACAAACUUCAUCACCUGCAAACUGCAUCACCCUCACCCCACAAACUUCAUCACCUGCAAACUGCAUCACCCUCACCCCACAAACUUCAUCACCUGCAAACUGCAUCACCCUCACCCCACAAACUGCAUCACCCUCACCCCACAAACUGCAUCACCUGCAAACUGCAUCACCCUCACCCCACAAACUUCAUCACCUGCAAACUGCAUCACUCUCAUCCUGCUAACUGCACCACCUGCAAACUGCAUCAACUGCAACCUGCAUCACCUGCAAACUGCAUCACCCUCACCCUGUUGCCCACUGGCUCCCUGUUAGCUUUGACUGAUGGGGGACCCUAA
rnacentral:lncRNA from 1 species